GGGAUACGCUGAACAGCGCUAUACGCAUGAUACAGCUGGAGCAUCUCCUGCUGUCAAGAUUUAUCGCUCUGAGAUGAGCUCGCGUCUGAUAGCUAGUUGGCGGGGUAACGGCCCACCAAGGCGACGAUCAGUAGCCGGACUGAGAGGUUGGCCGGCCACAUUGGGACUGAGACACGGCCCAGACUCCUACGGGAGGCAGCAG
rnacentral:rRNA from 1 species